rnacentral:rRNA from 1 species
CGAACGAGCUAUGUAACUUGCUGGAUAUAUCUUAGUGGCGGACGGGUGAGUAACACGUGAGCACCUGCCUUUCAGAGUGGAAUAACGUUUGGAAACGAACGCUAAUACCGCAUAAUAUGGCAUCAUCAAAGAUUUAUCGCUGAAAGAUGGGCUCGCGGCCGAUUAGGUAGUUGGUGAGAUAAUAGCCCACCAAGCCACGAUCGGUAGCCGGACUGAGAGGUUGAACGGCCACAUUGGGACUGAGACACGGCCCAGACUCCUACGGGAGGCAGCAGUGGGGGAUAUUGCACAAUGGGGGAAACCCUGAUGCAGCGACGCCGCGUGAGGGAAGACGGCCUUCGGGUUGUAAACCUCUGUCUUCGGGGACGAAUAAGACGGUACCCGAGGAGGAAGCCACGGCUAACUACGUGCCAGCAGCCGCGGUAAUACGUAGGUGGCAAGCGUUGUCCGGAAUUACUGGGUGUAAAGGGAGCGUAGGCGGGGAGCAAGUUGAAUGUCUAAACUAUCGGCUCAACUGAUAGUCGCGUUCAAAACUGCCACUCUUGAGUGCAGUAGAGGUAGGCGGAAUUCCUAGUGUAGCGGUGAAAUGCGUAGAUAUUAGGAGGAACACCAGUGGCGAAGGCGGCCUACUGGGCUGUAACUGACGCUGAGGCUCGAAAGCGUGGGUAGCAAACAGGAUUAGAUACCCUGGUAGUCCACGCCGUANACGAUGAUUACUAGGUGUGGGGGAUGNCCCCUUC